rnacentral:lncRNA from 1 species
CGAGGAAGAGGCGCUCGCUUGGUCGCCGCGCGACUGGGUGCAGAUGCAGUCAGCGGGACGCGGCGGCGACGGCGACGGCGCCAGUAGCAGUGCCUGGUUCGUCCCGGUGAAGGACGAGCCGAUCUUCGACAGUAGCGACUUUAGUUGGAGUUUCCUAGAUUAGGUUUAAUUUCGUAAUUUCGUUCGAACAUGUAAUAAAUCCAAAAUGUUUGAAUAAAAUUCGUAUUUCCAUUUCCAUUGUCAUUUAAAUUCCUAUUUUCAUUGCCGUUUAAAUGUCGCGUCGGAGAUUUAAACGUAUAUGAAAUCAAAAAAAAAUGGCCGCAUUGGAGAACAAAUAUUUUAAUUUUUAUUUAAUUUUUUUUUUACGUAAACUACAUAGCCGAUUUAAACUGCAGUCGACGGCAUUGAUCGUAACGCGUUCGUGACGACGGACCCUUUUAUGCCGGUCAUGCCGCCCCUAAACUGGCGAGGUGGG